rnacentral:rRNA from 1 species
GAUGAACGCUGGCGGCGUGCCUAAUACAUGCAAGUCGAGCGAACAGACGAGGAGCUUGCUCCUCUGACGUUAGCGGCGGACGGGUGAGUAACACGUGGAUAACCUACCUAUAAGACUGGGAUAACUUCGGGAAACCGGAGCUAAUACCGGAUAACAUGUUGAACCGCAUGGUUCAACAGUGAAAGACGGUCUUGCUGUCACUUAUAGAUGGAUCCGCGCCGCAUUAGCUAGUUGGUAAGGUAACGGCUUACCAAGGCAACGAUGCGUAGCCGACCUGAGAGGGUGAUCGGCCACACUGGAACUGAGACACGGUCCAGACUCCUACGGGAGGCAGCAGUAGGGAAUCUUCCGCAAUGGGCGAAAGCCUGACGGAGCAACGCCGCGUGAGUGAAGAAGGUCUUCGGAUCGUAAAACUCUGUUAUUAGGGAAGAACAAAUGUGUAAGUAACUAUGCACGUCCUGACGGUGCCUAAUCAGAAAGCCACGGCUAACUACGUG